GUCGCGGCACUUUAGGCUGAGAGUGUCCAGGAGUAUACCAGAAAAGCUGUCCUUGUCCAUAGCCAUCAGGUCCCUGGCUUGAUACAAGUAGCAGCGCAAGUGGUAGCGGGUGCCCCCUAAAAAUAGACAACAACAUGAGCAGACUGAGGAGGGGGAAGACACGGUUAGGAGCGGUGACUCACGGUCAAAGAAGCAGGAAAUGGUGGGUCUGUUGACUCCAAAGGUGGUGGUGACGGACUUGUCGUCGUGUUUGUCUUCGAUGCUGCUCUGCGGGGGCGAAACGAGGGGCUCCAUGCGGCAUCUCCACCUGCGCCUGCGGAAGCUGUCCGUCUUCCUCGGCUUUAGGUGGAACCUCCAGCCGAAUAGCGAGGUGUACUCCCAGCCUUCCCACAUCGCCUCGUCCGGACGCUGCUAAGAGGUUACAGAGGCGGACAAACUCACAAAGACUUCAAACUGAUGCGUGAAAGGCAAUGGUGGAAAGUAAACAAGCACUACUACAAGUUACUGUAGUUCACUUUACUCUAGUAUUUCUUUUUCACUAAAGACACUUAAAAACAGCUUUACCUUCUAUUUUAAUAAUCAUAAUUUAUAAAUAAUUUGAAUUUUUAAAAAUGUUAUUUAAAAAUUGAAAAUAAUUUGUCAAUACUGGUUCACACUUUGUCAACUGUCAGCAGAUGACAUAUUAUAAAAGACACUAAAGAAAACAGGCAUUGAUUAUAUUUGACAGUACAUUUCUCAUUUUUACUUUGGUAGAAAAGUUUCCGUCUAAAGUUUUUUUUUUUUAACAUCUGUACUUUUAAGUACAGCGCGAGGACUUCAGUAGCAAGAGAAAAGCUAAGAGUAGAUUUGUGCGGCAACAGCGACACCUGGUGGAUCAUUCCUGUUACAGCAAUCGACUUCUUUCUUGUUCGUCAAUGUUGGUGGUGAUUAGCGGGCUACCAGUGUGAGAACAGAUUACUGUGGAUUUAAGUCAUGUUUUAAAAGUUGCAAUUAUUCACCUUUC